GUCGCUGUGCUAAGGUCGUGCAAUAAUCAUCACCUUUCGCAGAGGAAAGUCCGGACUCCUCGGAGGAUAGUGCCGGAUAACGUCCGGCGGCGCGCAUGUGCUGCAUAGCACCUCUUUUCUCUAUUAGUGUGUGUGUGCAUAUGAGCGUUAGGGAAAGUGCAACAGAAAAUAUACCGCCGUUUUGGCAAGGGUGAAAUGGAGAGGUAAGAGCUCCCCGCGAUCUUGGCGACAAGAUCGGCAUUGCAAACCCCACUUGGAGCAAGAUCAAAUUGGAACAGCAUAAAAUGACCUCUGCAUGAGACUGUUCGUGGUAGAUCGCUGGAUGUUUACAGCAAUGUAGACACAAGAUGAAUGACUAUCGAAAUGCACUUUUGCAUUUUACAGAAUCCGGCUUAUAGAUU
rnacentral:RNase_P_RNA from 1 species